rnacentral:tRNA from 1 species
GGGAAUAUAGCUCAGUUGGUAGAGUGCCUACCUCACAUGCACACGGCCCUGGGUUCAAUCCCCAGUACCUCCA